UAUAUUUGACAAUGGGGGCAACCCUGAUCCAGCCAUGCCGCGUGUGUGAAGAAGGUCUUCGGAUUUUUAAGCACUUUAAGGUAGGAGGAAGGGCUUUAGGUUAAUGCCCUGAAUUUUUGACGUUACCUACCUAAUAACCCCCUGCUUACUCUGUGCCAGGAGCCGCGGUAAUACAGAGGGUGCAAGCGUUAAUCGGAAUUACUGGGCGUAAAGCGCGCGUAGGUGGUUCAGUAAGAUGGGUGUGAAAUCCCCGGGCUUAACCUGGGAACUGCUUUCAUAACUGCUGAGCUAGAGUACGGUAGAGGGUAGUGGAAUUUCCUGUGUAGCGGUGAAAUGCGUAGAUAUAGGAAGGAACACCAGUGGCGAAGGCGACUACCUGGACUGAUACUGAAACUGAGGUGCGAAAGCGUGGGGAGCAAAC
rnacentral:rRNA from 1 species